AGUACAAGGCACUGGCCUAAAUUGGAUAUUGAAAAUUAAAGACAAGGCUUAAGCCUAUUUUGAUCGUGAUUUUCGAAUUUUAAAUUACUAAAGUCAAGGCUGUAUGGUCCUGAGAUCUUUGCCUGCCUUAUAUAAGGCGAAUUUAAACAACAACAACAACAUCAUCGAGUCGAGCCCUACUUCCUUGUACAAACUUGCGUUGACAUUCUACUGUAAUAACUUCCAGAACCAUUAUGUGUUUUGGAUAGAGCCAAAAUGAUAAAAGUUUGUGGAUAAUGUUCGUUGAUAAAUUGCAAUGUGUUAGAUGCUGAUCGACUUUGUCAUACUAACUCAUACUCAUACUAAGAGAUGCAAGCAACAACAAGUUUCCUGAAGAAUGUUCCAGCCCGAGAGUUAGAAACAAUGUGUCUGUAUAAGUUGUGGAAUAUCUUUGUGAAGGCAUACAAGAAGACAAAAUCACAGGCCAUAGGCUUAUGGAAAGAAAUAAAGAGUGACAUAUCUCCAAGACAGAUGCUUGAUGGAUGCCCAUGUAUGCGUUGUUUGCAGAAUGAGCUCACCUCAAAUGCAUUAAUACCUAGCGAACAUAAGAGCUGUGUUAAGUGUGCCAUUGCAUUGUAUGUAGCUAUUUAUGUUCAUAGAUGUUGUUAAACUAUGAGCUUAAAUCACUUUAUAAUUUAUAUUAUCAUGUCAUUAAAUAAUUAAAAAGCUAGUUAGGAACAUAA